rnacentral:rRNA from 1 species
AGCUUGCUGGGUGGAUGAGUGGCGAACGGGUGAGUAACACGUGAGUAACCUGCCCCCUUCUUUGGGAUAACGCCCGGAAACGGGUGCUAAUACUGGAUAUUCACUGGCCUUCGCAUGGGGGUUGGUGGAAAGGUUUUUUCUGGUGGGGGAUGGGCUCGCGGCCUAUCAGCUUGUUGGUGGGGUGAUGGCCUACCAAGGCUUUGACGGGUAGCCGGCCUGAGAGGGUGACCGGUCACAUUGGGACUGAGAUACGGCCCAGACUCCUACGGGAGGCAGCAGUGGGAAUAUUGCACAAUGGGCGAAAGCCUGAUGCAGCGACGCCGCGUGAGGGAUGACGGCCUUCGGGUUGUAAACCUCUUUCGCUCAUGGUCAAGCCGCAACAAUGGUUGUGGUGAGGGUAGUGGGUAAAGAAGCGCCGGCUAACUACGUGCCAGCAGCCGCGGUAAUACGUAGGGCGCGAGCGUUGUCCGGAAUUAUUGGGCGUAAAGGGCUUGUAGGCGGUUGGUCGCGUCUGCCGUGAAAUCCUCUGGCUUAACUGGGGGCGUGCGGUGGGUACGGGCUGACUUGAGUGCGGUAGGGGAGACUGGAACUCCUGGUGUAGCGGUGGAAUGCGCAGAUAUCAGGAAGAACACCGGUGGCGAAGGCGGGUCUCUGGGCCGUUACUGACGCUGAGGAGCGAAAGCGUGGGGAGCGAA